rnacentral:rRNA from 1 species
CCGAUGGCGACCGGCGCACGGGUGAGUAACACGUAUCCAACCUGCCGAUAACUCGGGGAUAGCCUUUCGAAAGAAAGGUCAAUAUCCGAUAGGAUAUCAAGGUCGCAUGAUCUUGAUAUUAAAGAAUUUCGGUUAUCGAUGGGGAUGCGUUCCAUUAGUUAGUUGGCGGGGUAACGGCCCACCAAGACGACGAUGGAUAGGGGUUCUGAGAGGAAGGUCCCCCACAUUGGAACUGAGACACGGUCCAAACUCCUACGGAAGGCAGCAG